UGUCACAUGUAAUGCUUAACGUAUCUCC
rnacentral:piRNA from 1 species